CAGCAAAAACAGUGGCUAUCACCAGUCCUGCCUGAAAGAAGUCCAGUAAAAGACCAUCAACAACCAAAAAGCAGAACAGAUACAGAUGGAGCCAAAGGGUGAGAAAGACUCCCUAUACCUCCUCUUUGCCUGAAGGAGCAGACUGCUGGUGCGCCAAGCGUUUUACAAACAGCUGAAAUCUGUCUUCCUGUAACUUGAGCCCAUUGUUCCGUAUCCUGCACCCUGGGAUGAUCGAGAAGAGACCUUGGCCUUCCUCUGUGUGACAACCUUUCAAGUACUUGAAGAGUGCUAUUAUAUUAUGAGGGGAGCCUCAGUCUUCUCAAGGCUACACAUGCCCAGUCUCUCCCCAUAGGGCUUUAUUUCCUGUCCCCUGAUCAUCCAUGUUGCCCUCCAUGUUGUUCCUCUAAACACUUUGUCUACAUCCUUCUUAAAGUGUGGUGUGUCCAGAACUGGACACAGUAUGCAAGAUGUGACCUAACUAGUGCCAAGCAGAGGUAGAACUAGUACUUCACAUUAUUUGGAAAUUAUACUUCUGUUAAUGCAGCCUAAAAUAGCAUUUGCCUUUUUUGCAGCCACAUUGCACUACUGGCUCAUAUUCAGCUUUUGGUCAACAACAAUCCCAAGAUCCUUCUCACAUGUAGUAUUGCUGAGCCAAGUAUCUCCCAUCUUAUAACUGUGCACUUACCUAGGAGCAUUUCUAUGUUGUAUGUCAUGUUCAAAUAAAUUCACCACAACAAAUCUUUUUUUAAAAAAACCUGCAGAACUUUAAAGAUUUCCCAUGCAUAAUGCAAAUUUCACUGAAUUAUGCCAAAAUUUUUUUUAAAAGUUUUAGGUGUCACCUUUUUCAUUAAAAAAAAUAAAGAAAAUCUCUCACACUUUAAAAACUCAUUGCACAAAACCCACUUCACUUACCUGUCUUAAAUUUGGCAAGAAUCUUCCCACAGAAGGGGCUAUUAUGCCUACAAAGUGCAAUUUUGGCAAAACAUCAGACAUUAUAGCCAUUUGUUGACUUCUCCCUUACAGACAAAGGGGAGAUAUCCAGAGCUUCGGGUUUUCAGAAUCUGAGAUGGAGUGGAUGUUGUCUAAAUCAGUUGAAAAUGAAUCAGCCUCCUGCCCAUAACAUUACAGUGGCAUCUGAAGCUAUCUCUUCCCCCCUGCCCCAUGCAAACCCCUGUUAGCAGUUCUGCCUUGUGUUUUGCGUUUUUUUGGUUACAUCAGUGUGUGACACAACCUAUAUAAUCACGAAUCUCUACUUCAGGAACCUCCCUGAAAUUUCAUGAGUUGCAUGGCUGAUGUGGCUGAUACUUGUUUACACAGGCUGACUUGCAGCAAUGGAUUUCUUUUGCUAGAGGGGAGGACAGGCAAGAAGCAGCAAAACAUACACAUUUAUGUAUUUCCUCCCUUUCAUUUCCAUUUUUAAGUAAACAUUCCCCACCAUCACUGAAGAGAUGAAUUGCCUGUUAUGUGAUAGCUUUAAAAUAUAUUAAACACAAUAAAUCUUUGCCUGCAAGGAUAGUAUUCAGCAGACACUGGGUUUGAAAAAGGGGAUGGCGGUGAUUUUUUUUUUUAAUGUGAAGAAAUUUAGUCCAGUCAUGAUUUAAACAAACCAACACACUUGUUAUAAGCAUCACACAGAUACAACAUUUUAGCUGGGGCAAAAGUAAAAAUACUGCUCACUGGUCUAAUUUACAGCUAAGAUAUAGCGAAAGGGAAGGGACAGCAAGAGUUUAAGAAAAAUAUAUCAAAAGCAUACGUUAAGUAUAAUUAACAGCUGAAAACAGAAACUGAGAGAAGAAUCUUUUAACCCCCCAAUAGUAUAUUGAAAAAACACACAUUAAUACUUUAUUGUAUUAUUAUUAUAUUAUGCAUAAUAUAAUAUAAUAUUAUUAUAUUAUUUAUAAUAUAUUAUUAUAUUAUUAAAUAUAACAAAUAUUAUUCAAGCUGAGUGUGGGAUUCUGUGUGUCUCAGCUGGCCAUUCCGCAGGACUUUCAGUGUAAGUGUUAUUCUAGAAGUGUCUAUUGACCAUUGGCUCUCCAGACAUUGCUGAACAACAAAUCCCAUCAUGCCUUGCCAUUGGCUAUGCUCGCUGGGGCUGAUGGAAGGCCAAAGGUUCCCCCACACCAGUGAUGACUACUCACAUGAAGACUGAUGCCUUGUUCAGGUAAGACAGAGAAAGUGUAGGAGAAAAACAUGGGGUGGAGGAAUCAAACCAUGAGAAAAACUUGGUCAGGAAGGAGCCGUGAAUGAGGAAAUUGCUGCUGCAGACUCGGAUACAUUGGCUUACUACACUGAUGGCACUGCAGGCAUGAAUAUAGUCAAACUUGGCUUCCAGCCAGCAUGUCCAUUGCUGGAAGUGAGGCUACAUCAUACAUUUAAAACACAUAACUUAGUUCAACAAAUUUUAGGACCUGUAGUUUGUGAAGGGUGGUGGGAAUGGUAGCACAGUGACAGAUAAACUAAAGUUCCCAAGAUGCUUUGGGGGAAGGCAUGUGCUGUAAAUUUAUGAUGUGUACACAGCCUGAGAUAGCCCCAUAUACUAUGAAGCAGUAUAAAAGGAGGCAUGGUGUUUACAAAGAUGUCUGAAAUGAUUCAUGUGGCAUUCAGCGCUUUACAGGGGAAGCCUUGCAUUAAAAGGGUGGUGGUAAGUGUGAUAGAAAUACAUAAAUGUGUAUCACAUAGGAAUUCACUCAGGAGCACCAUUAGGGUGCAGUUAAAACUGCCCCAUGCCUCUAAUGAUCCCAGUUAUUAAGAAUCAAGCCGAAUCCUCUCUGCAUUGGCCUAUCCUGGGCAUGGUAGGAUUUGAGGAAACACUGAAACAGUGGACAAAAUUCUAGGAAUUGGAUUUGAGAUACUACAUAGACCGACAAAUAACCAACGUUAGAGCCUGGUCCAUUAGAGUGAAUGGGCACUGCCCAAUCAACAUGAACCUGCCCCCCUUUCCCUACAUUCAUACCUAUAGCAAAUCAGGGGAUGGCUUUUUCUGUCAUUGGCUCUGGCUUCACCUACUGUUGGUCUCCCUGCCUAUCACCCUGCCAGUCCCAGUGGGCAUGAGCCACCACUGAUAACCAUGUUGAAAGCAAAUAGUUAACCCACUUCUCUCUAUGUGUGUGCUCCUCUACCAUCCUAUUUAUUUACUCUCAUGUAAACACAGGGUUGCACUGAGAUGCAUAGUCAGUGGCACACAUAUUCAUCUCAACUGCCCUGUCACUUUGUGCCUAGAAUGUGCAGGGUGGCUUUCCUGCCAGACUGUGUAGCGUCAACCAUGUAGCUAUUUGAGAUUACCUAAAUAAUCCAAUUUGUGGGAAAGCAGCUAAGGGGGAACAGUACAAAUCCUGUAUUCAUCUCAAGAAUAGAGUGUCAGUAGAAAAAUCUAUUAAUUUCCCUGCAAAGGUGGAACAGCACAGAUAAGAAAGACUAGGGACACAAAAGCUGCCGUUCUGGACUACAGCUAUGUACAACUCAUUGCCUUAGGCUAGUCCAUAUCUGAGCAAACAUGUCCUGAAGUAACAAUGUGUCUCCUCAAAGGACAUGUUUUUGUCAAGCUUCUGGCUACUUGUCCUUUUUAUUUUCCCCUCUCCCUCUGAUGAAUUUGUGUUUGUACAUGGCCAAAUGGUAAUUUGAGUUUGCAUUAUCUCUACCUAGAAGCUAAGAUUUUGCUGGGGAAUGUCUUCUGUUUUCCUGACAAGCUCUUUGCAGACUCCAGAAGUGUCAACCCAUCUCAAGCUGCCAAGUGCCAGCCCUUAAGGCAAUAUUGACACCAAAAGGGAAUUGCAGAGAGUUGUGAUUUGUUUUCCCAUGACAUGCCACUGAAGAACAAGGAUCACUUUCAAAUACAUAUAUAUAUAUCUGCCCCUGAAAAAUACAGUCAGAUGAAUUUCAGCAAAUAUAUUGGAGCAACUGAAAAUGACUACUAUCUGUACCAGUAGGUUGGUGGCAUUUAAUUAAAUAAUGCUUUCCAGCAGCAUGCCUGGACAUCCCCCUGUGACAGAGCCUUGGCCAAGAACUGUACUUGUUAAGAAUCCUAUUUCACAACAUGCUGCAAAUGUGGUUUGAACAUCUCCCCACAUUCUACUCAUUCAUCAAUUGGGCCACAGGGGUAAGACUAGAGGGGAGUUCCCCAAAGAAGUUUAUUUCAAAAAGAAAUAACACACACACAUACUUUGGGAUACAGAGCGGGAUGAAUAGUGGAUGACUUAAUGUAACACAGACUCUAAUACAUUUUGAACCUACUGGCACAAUUAGUAAGUUUAUGCACAUGCAAUAUGAACUGCUAUAGAAGAACAUUCUGAUAGUACAGGCUGCAGCCCAUUCUGUGGGAGGGGAGCCAACCAACUAACCCAGUGGCUUCCAAACGUUUCCCCCCCCCCCCGAUUACUUCAGAACUGCUGAAGGUCUUGAUUUUUCUGCCUGCUCUAGGAAUUGUAAUGUG